UGACACAGCCCCAAUAUGUCAUUUGUCUUCCCAUUGACAGCCAGGGUUGAUUCAGCUGAUCUGGCUGGCUAGAUGGGUGGCUCCUUCCUCCCCCACUGCUCCAUGUGCGUCCUUCCCAAAGCUGUGUGCUCAGUGAAAGAGGAAGACCUUUCCCAGAGUAGAGCUGGGACUGAACUUCAGUCAGGGUAUAUGAGUAACUGAGCUCCCCUGCUAGGACCUCCAAACUAGUUCACAGGGUCUAAGGUAUGGGUGCUCUAAGCAGCUCUAGACUUCAGUCCA
rnacentral:snRNA from 1 species